UCGGCGCUAAACAGUAAACAUUAAACUACCUAUACGGCUUUACUUUAUUUUAUAAAAUUAUAAAUAUUUAUAAAUUAUAAAUAAGUGAAGUGAUGAAUAAACUUCAAAAAUUCUCCAUAUCGGACUUCUUCAAUAAGAAGAAGAAAAAUGACCAAGAUAUUAAUGACAAUGAAUACAACGAACACAAUGUCGAUGAUCCAGAUAUCCCUAAGACUUCAGUAAAUAAUGAAGACUCUAUUGCUGUUAACAACAGUUAAUGGCAACCAAUUGAAUUUACAGGAGAUGAUGACACUCCUGAAUGUUGGGACUCAAAACAAGCAAAAUACUUUUGUGAAGAAUAUCCAUGGCUGUAUUUCAAAAACAAAAAGUUGGGUUGUAAUAUUUGCCAUAAUGUAAAUUUAAAUCUUAAUAAGAAUCAAGUAUCUCAUGUGCAUGUAUCAUCAAACUGGAUUCAAUGUGACAUUGUUCCAUCUGGAAAUAGAAUACCCAAACAACAAGCUAGUUUGAGGAAAAAGAUCUCCAAUUCAACCACUGCUUCUACAUUAGGUAAAGGCAAAUAUGUUACACAUUUUCAUUGUUUCAUACAAUAAACCAAAUUUUAAAAAUGUUCACUUGCAUGUUGGUGACUAAUACUGACUAUUGACUAUAAACUUUUAGGUACCUAUAAUAAACAUUUAUUUUUUAUUUUUUAUAGAAAUGAAAUAUUAAAAAAAUAAUAAAUUUCAUGACAUUUUAAAAACGUUAUUAUAAUAUACAGCAUUUUGGUUUGACUAUUUAGUUAUACUGUUAUUGUGUAUUCAUUUUUCGUUGUAAGUACGAUUGUACUUGAUGUAAGACGGUUUGUUACAUCGAUUAUAUAGUACCUAUAUCUAUAUAGUAGUAAUCCAGACAUUCCGUGUUUAAAAG